rnacentral:rRNA from 1 species
UGCAAGUCGAGCGGUAAGGCCCUUCGGGGUACACGAGCGGCGAACGGGUGAGUAACACGUGGGUGACCUGCCCUCAGCUCUGGGAUAAGCCUGGGAAACUGGGUCUAAUACCGGAUAUGACUACUGGCCGCAUGGUUGGUGGUGGAAAGUUUUUCGGCUGGGGAUGGGCCCGCGGCCUAUCAGCUUGUUGGUGGGGUGAUGGCCUACCAAGGCGACGACGGGUAGCCGGCCUGAGAGGGCGACCGGCCACACUGGGACUGAGACACGGCCCAGACUCCUACGGGAGGCAGCAGUGGGGAAUAUUGCGCAAUGGGCGGAAGCCUGACGCAGCGACGCCGCGUGGGGGAUGACGGCCUUCGGGUUGUAAACCUCUUUCGACAGGGACGAAGAGCAAUUGACGGUACCUGUAGAAGAAGCACCGGCCAACUACGUGCCAGCAGCCGCGGUAAUACGUAGGGUGCGAGCGUUGUCCGGAAUUAUUGGGCGUAAAGAGCUCGUAGGCGGUGUGUCACGUCGAUCGUGAAAACUUUCAGCUUAACUGGGAGCUUGCGGUCGAUACGGGCAUCACUGGAGUUCGGCAGGGGAGACUGGAAUUCAAGGUGUAGCGGUGAAAUGCGCAGAUAUCUUGAGGAACACCGGUGGCGAAGGCGGGUCUCUGGGCCGAUACUGACGCUGAGGAGCGAAAGCGUGGGGAGCGAACAGGAUUAGAUACCCUGGUAGUCCACGCCGU